AGUUUGAUCAUGGCUCAGAUUGAACGCUGGCGGCAGGCCUAACACAUGCAAGUCGAACGGUAACAGGAAGCAGCUUGCUGCUUUGCUGACGAGUGGCGGACGGGUGAGUAAUGUCUGGGAAACUGCCUGAUGGAGGGGGAUAACUACUGGAAACGGUAGCUAAUACCGCAUAACGUCGCAAGACCAAAGAGGGGGACCUUCGGGCCUCUUGCCAUCGGAUGUGCCCAGAUGGGAUUAGCUGGUAGGUGGGGUAACGGCUCACCUAGGCGACGAUCCCUAGCUGGUCUGAGAGGAUGACCAGCCACACUGGAACUGAGACACGGUCCAGACUCCUACGGGAGGCAGCAGUGGGGAAUAUUGCACAAUGGGCGCAAGCCUGAUGCAGCCAUGCCGCGUGUAUGAAGAAGGCCUUCGGGUUGUAAAGUACUUUCAGCGGGGAGGAAGGGAGUAAAGUUAAUACCUUUGCUCAUUGACGUUACCCGCAGAAGAAGCACCGGCUAA
rnacentral:rRNA from 1 species